UGGGGGAUAUUGCACAAUGGGCGAAAGCCUGAUGCAGCGACGCCGCGUGGGGGAUGAAGGCUUUCGGGUUGUAAACCUCUUUCGCUAUCGAACAAGGCCCGCUUAGGGUGGGUUGAGGGUAGGUGGAGAAGAAGCGCCGGCUAACUACGUGCCAGCAGCCGCGGUAAUACGUAGGGCGCGAGCGUUGUCCGGAAUUAUUGGGCGUAAAGGGCUUGUAGGCGGCUUGUUGCGCCUGCUGUGAAAACGCGGGGCUUAACUUCGCGCGUGCAGUGGGUACGGGCAGGCUUGAGUGUGGUAGGGGUGACUGGAAUUCCAGGUGUAGCGGUGGAAUGCGCAGAUAUCUGGAGGAACACCGAUGGCGAAGGCAGGUCACUGGGCCUUUACUGACGCUGAGGAGCGAAAGCAUGGGUAGCGAACAGG
rnacentral:rRNA from 1 species